UCAGCACCUGCCCCGGGGCCGGGCCCGACCGCCACGCAGGCACCUGCCGUCGCCGCCGCCGCUGCCGCCAUACGGGUCGGAGAGGCUGCGAGCCGCUCCCGGGGAAGAUCCGGCUCCCAUCCGGCCCCGCCCGCCCUGCCUUAUCCUGCCCGCAACUCCGGGGCUGCCCGGCUCGAUUCCGGGUAAUAUGGGCCGGCUGAGCAGGCUCCACCGGGUGGCAUAGGGGGCUGUGGCCGAAACAGGAGCCCUUCUGGAGGUGGAAGCCCAGCUUCUAGUCCCUCUCUGUCCCAGCGACCUCUCUGGCCUUGGGCAAGUCAUUUCCCAGCCUUUCCUCGGUUUUCCUGUAUGUUCAGAGGGGUUGGUCUGGCCUUCGGCAAGGGCCUCACCAGUCCCCAGAUCCUGGUUUCAGGGCUUCUAGCAAUAAUGCUGAGCCACUUACCUGGGAAGUUGGAGGCCUUAGAGGGAUUGGAUCAUUAGCUGUGAGGAGGUGUGGAAAAUCAGGGUGGGGGAGCUAGAACCAGAUGAAGAUCAAGUCUGCCCCUUCACAUCUGUUUGGUGCUGACAUCCUGAGGGUUCGCCCCCUGCCAUCUCCCUGGCCCUUCUUUCAGUCUUCCCAUGUCUGAGACAGACAGACAGACAGAUGGAAAAGGACAAAUGGGGCCUGGUAGCCCUUGCCAGGGGGGGUCCCCAGGCACCACAGCCAACCACCUUUCUUAAACUUCAUAAUCCCAAGUCUUCCUGUUAUAUGCAGCUGGGGGUGAGGGUGGGUCUCAGUGGCCCUCAUCUUAAGUGGGAGUCCACGGGUCAUUAGCCACAACCAAACCUGAGACAGCCGGCCCCUCUUCUGCAGGGAGUCAAAGUGUUAAGAUCUGACAUGAGGGAGGGGGGUGGAGAUUGCCUUAGACCCCUGGUGUCCUGCCCCGGAGAGUCUAGAACUGAGGGUUCCACACACAGCCUGAGGUCAGUGUGAGCCCUUAGCUGAGUCUCUGUCCUUUCACUCCAGGUGUCUGUCAUUCCUCCUCUCUCAAAAUUGAUGGUGAUGCUGGUCUAGCCCCAGAGAGAGGGUCGUAGGUGGAGGGAAGCCUCCUUGGAUAGCAGUAAGGAGCUACAGUUUCCCCUUAGGCUGGAGAAACAGACAGCUGUGGCAGCUGACCAGCCCCCUGCCCACCUGCUGGUUGUGACUCAGCCUUGGAACCUCUGGAUGCAGAGGGUACCCAGGGUCUAUAGGGAAAAACUGAGAAGUAGAGUGCAGCUUAUACGCAGGGGAGCUUGGGUUUGAACCCAGGCUUUAGCGCAAGACUCCAGAGCACUCUUAACCCUUCAGUGUCUGUACGAUCAGGGGCGGGUGACACCUUCUCUCCUCCUCUCCGUGGCCGUGGAAUGGGAUACGUGCAUGUGUAAGCGAAGGGCGUACUUGUACUCCAACACCCAGCACAGAGUGGCACACAGCACAUUGUAUUAAACGUUUGAGGAAUAAGUGAGCGAACAA